rnacentral:tRNA from 1 species
UGGCUCAGGUGGUAGAGCAUGGUGUUUGCAACGCCAGGGUUGUGGGUUCAAUUCCCAC